GAUUUCUGGUUUGAUGUGCCUGUCCCGCCACGGUAACGUGUGUGAGUGACGGUGUACGUCUGCCAUCCUUCUAGAUUCGGCAGGUUACUCUUAACUGAGUGGUCUGUCUGUUCUAGAUCUUUUACUUUGAAAAAAUUAGAGUGUUUCAAGCAGGCUUUUGCUAUGAAUACAUUAGCAUGGAAUAAUAAUUUAGGACUUUGGCCCUAUUUUGUUGGUUUCUAGGACUGAAGUAAUGAUUGAUAGGGAUAGUUGGGGGUGCUCGAAUUCAGCGGCCAGAGGUGAAAUUCUUGGAUUCGCUGAAGACGAACUCAUGCGAAAGCAUU
rnacentral:rRNA from 1 species